rnacentral:rRNA from 1 species
AGUGAACGCUGGCGGUAGGCCUAACACAUGCAAGUCGAACGGCAGCACAGUAAGAGCUUGCUCUUACGGGUGGCGAGUGGCGGACGGGUGAGGAAUACAUCGGAAUCUACUUUUUCGUGGGGGAUAACGUAGGGAAACUUACGCUAAUACCGCAUACGACCUACGGGUGAAAGCAGGGGAUCUUCGGACCUUGCGCGAUUGAAUGAGCCGAUGUCGGAUUAGCUAGUUGGCGGGGUAAGGCCCACCAAGGCGACGAUCCGUAGCUGGUCUGAGAGGAUGAUCAGCCACACUGGAACUGAGACACGGUCCAGACUCCUACGGGAGGCAGCAGUGGGGAAUAUUGGACAAUGGGCGCAAGCCUGAUCCAGCCAUACCGCGUGGGUGAAGAAGGCCUUCGGGUUGUAAAGCCCUUUUGUUGGGAAAGAAAAGCAGCAGGUUAAUACCCCGCUGUUCUGACGGUACCCAAAGAGUAAGCACCGGCUAACUUCGUG